UACGUAGGGGCUAGCGUUGUCCGGAAUCAUUGGGCGUAAAGCGCGUGUAGGCGGUUCGGUAAGUCCGCUGUGAAAGUCGGGGCUCAACCCUCGAAUGCCGGUGGAUACUGUCGGGCUAGAGUGCGGAAGAGGCGAGUGGAAUUCCUGGUGUAGCGGUGAAAUGCGCAGAUAUCAGGAGGAACACCAAUUGCGAAGGCAGCUCGCUGGGACGUUACUGACGCU
rnacentral:rRNA from 1 species